UGCGUAGGUGGCGAUGUAAGUCUGGUGUGAAAUCUCGGGGCUCAACCUCGAAAUUGCAUUGGAUACUGCGUUGCUUGAGGAUUGUAGAGGAGAGUGGAAUUCACGGUGUAGCAGUGAAAUGCGUAGAUAUCGUGAGGAAGACCAGUUGCGAAGGCGACUCUCUGGGCAAUUCCUGCACUGAGGCACGAAGGCCAGGGGAGCAAACG
rnacentral:rRNA from 1 species